AAAAAAAACUCAAAAAAAUCUGAAAAAAGGUAUUUAAUUUAAUCUGCUUUGGGGUGCAUAUUUUGGAAAACCAUAGAGCCGAAUUGUAGGAGCCGGUUUUAAACACUAAUACUGACCACUGUACCAGGUACGCCUGUACUGAUCUGUCUGUCUCUUGUUUUACCUACACACGUGAACACUUACCCAGUCUUGCAGGACGAAUAAUAAUGGACGUUGAUUAUAAUAUUUCUAAAUACUGAACCAUCGACGAUCAUCACAUCCUGAACACGAAUCUACACAGGACUCAUCCACAAACACGUUAAAGAUACACAGAAAGCGAGUAGUAGGUUCGAUACACAAAUAUAUACGAUACAUUUGAUGUAUUCAUCAUGCUGAUACAAGUUGGUGCAUAACACUUAUACACGUUGGAAAUACACAGAAGGCGAGUGUGAUGUAUUCAUCAUGCUAAUACAAAUUGGUGCAUAACACUUAUACACGUUGGAAAUACAGAGAAGGCGAGUGUGAUGUAUUCAUCAUGCUGAUACAAAUUGGUGCAUAACACUUAUACACGUUGAAAAUACACAUGCCAAGUGUGUAAUGCUAUACCGAAACUAAUGAAAUAUACUGAUGCAAAGUGGUGCAAAACAAAUCGGAAACCGAAAUACAUAAGACAUUUGAUGUAUUCAUCAUGCUGAUACAAAUUGGUGCAUAACACUUAUUAUACGUUGGAAAUACACAGAAGGCGAGUAACACUUAUGUAACACGUGUAACACAUAAACACGUUGGAAGUACACGGAAGGCGGUUUCAAAGUUCUACACCGAAAUACAUAAGAAACUUUUAAUAUAUUCAUCAUGGUGAUGCAAAUUGGUGCAUAACACUUAUGAUCAUUGGAAAUACACAGAAGGCGAGUGUGAUGUAUCAUGCUGAUACAAAUUGGUGCGUAACACUUAAAUACUUCACAUUUGAAGUAUACAUCAUUCUGAUUCGAAUUGGCGCAUUUGUUACGAAACUAUAAUAAAUAUAUUUUGAUACUAACUUUA